rnacentral:lncRNA from 1 species
UUUUUAUUACUGGGUAUAUAUUUUUUUUGGUUUUGUUUUCAAAGGGUACGACCACAUCCAAACAUCGCAACGACGAUGAAUGGGAACAACAAUCACAACUAGAUGCCAACGGACAACUAGGAAAAACUCGACGUUUAUCGGGACCAACGGAGAGGUAACCAGACGUUAUUGAAUAACUGGGAGGGAUACAACCAUACGUCAACGGACGAAAUGGGAAAAACUCAAUGUUUACCAAGACCAACGGAGAGGUAACCAAACAUUAAUGAAUGAAUGGAAG